UCCGGCUUGUCGCCGGCGGUCCCUUUAGAGUGCCCAACUUAAUGAUGGCAACUAAAGGAGAGGGUUGCGCUCGUUGCGGGACUUAACCCAACAUCUCACGACACGAGCUGACGACAGCCAUGCAGCACCUGUCUCCGUGCCCCUUGCGGGGAAAGCCCAAUUUCUCGGACCGUCACGGGAUGUCAAGGCCUGGUAAGGUUCUGCGCGUUGCGUCGAAUUGAACCACAUGCUCCACCGCUUGUGCGGGCCCCCGUCAAUUCCUUUGAGUUUCAGCCUUGCGGCCGUACUCCCCAGGCGGGGCACUUACUGCGUUAGCGACGACACUCAGAGGGUCGCUCCCCCAAGCAUCUAGUGCCCAUCGUUUACGGCGUGGACUAC
rnacentral:misc_RNA from 1 species